AACGCACAUUGCGCCCCGUGGUAUUCCGCGGGGCAUGCCUGUUCGAGCGUCAUUUAAACCAAUCCAGCUCGCUGGGUCUUGGGCUCUCGCCUCUGGGCGGGCCCUAAAAUCAGUGGCGGUGCCGUCCGGCUCUACGCGUAGUAAUACUCCUCGCUAUAGGGCCCGGGCGGUCGCUGGCCAGCAACCCCCAAUUCUAUUAGGUUGACCUCGGAUCAGGUAGGGAUACCCGCUGAACUUAA
rnacentral:misc_RNA from 1 species